UGGGUUCAUACCCAGGUAAACAAGCACAUUCAUAGUUAGUAAAAUUAUAAGGAUCGCACAAACUGUUAGGACCACACUGCCCUAAAGAGUCACACUUGUGCUUAGGUGCUGACCAGUAUUCCUUCCAUUGGCUGUCACUUUCAUGCCAAGUUAGCCGCUUGAGCAAUCCUGAUUCCUCUACUACGACUCUUAUGAUGACAGAAGAGUAGUCAGCAGAGUAGGUAUAGUAUAUAUCUUCAAGAUUGUUAACAAAACUGUUCUUGUAGACUUCUGCAUUUGUUCUCCAAGGCCAUGGUAUACUUCGCCAAUAGGGGUUGGUACCCUUGUAUAGAUAAAACUCUGGUGAUCCACUUGGAUUGAGCCUAAAUGAAUAGUUUCCAAUUCCUGGAUCAUGCGCUGAUCUCCAAGAAGUUAGGAACGUUUCCAUACCCGUUUUCUUGUUCAAACCAAUUUUCAUUCCUUGUAGCAGGGUAUUUGUGGGAUAAUCAAAGCUUUGCCACAGAAUUUUUUUAUUUCUUCCCUGGACUAAAACUAAAUUCCCUGUGUCCAAGAGCUGAGCUUCACAAGCAUCUGCUGCAACCACAGAGACAUUUGCAGACCAUACUGGAAAGAUUUGGUCAUGAUCACCAUAGAGAACGAGAUUUCCAUUAUGGUUAACUGAGAGAACUCCCGAGGAACCAGUGAUUGGAUUGUCCCUGUUUGCUACCCACACCACUGUUUGUUCUGAUAUCUUAUGGAACCAUAUUCCAAGAUAUCUAUAUCUGGAAUUGCCAGGGCUAAAAAAUCCUAAAGCAAAAUGGUUUUCUUCAGAGAUUAGAAGUUGGCCUUCUUUGAUGGUUUGGUUUCUGGCAAUAUUGUCGACUGAAGAACAUAACAUGAAUAGAUGGACCAUGAAAAAAGAAUGCAGGAAGAGUCUUCUCGCAUCCAUGGUUUGAUGUUGGGUUUUGCACUGUGGACACACUUGGCAGUUAUUGGUCUCCCCUAAGCUGGGAAUAGGAAAUUUUACACCAGAACCACAUUAUCUUGAACUCGUGAAAAAUGCAGUGACCUAUAUGCUUGGCAAUUCCAACAAUCGGGAAGUGGACCUCAUAGCUUGUCAUUGUCAUUUACUCUAAUGUAAGUUAAUAGAACACAGCAAAGGCUGCCACUCAAAUUGUUAAAAUUAAAAAUAAAAUAAUGAAAAAAAAAAUUAAUUGAACUUAUCAUCUCAGUUCAUGCAUGCAUUGCAAUUUGCAAGGGAUAAAACAAAUUAGCCCUAACUGACAUGAAUGUGAUGGGGACUAUUCGUAAAUGAAAAGAUAAAUUCUCCCGUGGUUUCUUAAAUAGAAGCCCUAAGAGGAUAGGCAUGGCCCACGGCCAUUCUUUAUGUCAAUUUGGACACGUCUGUCACUGUGCCAACCCCAUUCACACCCUGGAAAUCUACCUUUCACCUGUAAUUUUUUUUUUAUUUUAAAAGAAAAAGAAAAAAUGGUUGAGAGCUGGUGAAAAAUUUUUGUGCACAUCCAAAUAGGAAAAGAGACCAGUCAAUAAGCUCAAAUUCUUGUAAUGCAAUGAGCACAGACAUAGUCCAACAAAACCAGCCUAGCAAAAGUCACCUAAAUCCAAAUCCAAAUCCAAAUCCUCUAAGGAAGAAAUCCAUAGUUCAUAUUCAAUAAUUUGCAGGUGGGUACAUCAAUAUACUUUAAUGAUAUAUUUUUUUAAAAGGAAUAAAUGAGUUAUAGUUUAUAGAAUUAAUGACAUUAUUUGUUUUUAUAUUAUAGUUGACCAUAUGGGAGAUUGCAUUAGGAUCCUCAGCAUAGUAGACACCAAUAAUGGAAGAGAGAACCAAGAAAAUAAUAGAGGAGAGAUGUAAUUGAAAGUGGUAGGAAAAUAAUUUAUAAUAUACAUCAAUAUAAGAAAAGAAGAUACGUAAAGGCAUAAACUAAAUUCACAUCAUGGUUUCAAAUAACUCUGCUACAUUAUUUACCAGUUAAAUCCUGAGUUGUAUGGGCUAUCAUUUACCAUUAAGUAACGAUAACAAUCGUUACUUUAAUUAUGCAUUUGCCACAUAUCAUAUGCAAAUCGUAUUUUUUUCUUCUUUUUUUAUUAAUGUCUAAAAAUGAUAAAUUUAAUGCCUUUAUGAUACAAUUGUGCAUCUCAAUUUUACUUGCAUCAAUAUCUUCAUUUUAUGGAUUUUACAAAUUUUUCAAAAUAAUUUGCAUAGCGUUAAGUAGUUAACAUUACGUUACACCCAUUACAGGCUUAUUACCUACAACCGUGACCGCGAACACGGCCGCCACCGCGAUUUGAAACCAUGAUUCACAUUCAAUCAUGUAAUAACUGACCUCAAUGUUCCGGAUGAAUUGAGCCCACUUGGAUUAAAUAGGAGAGAACUUAAUGCAGCAGUUAGUCUGAGAUCCUAGUCUUUUCUUCCCCUGCUUGUAGACCAUCUCAUAUCCAGACAUGUUGCACCUAUUGUAGUCACACAACAGUUAUAGAAAUCUCCACUGCAGCUACAGUUUAGCGAGUUACAACUCCAGUCAUUGUCACCUCAUUUACAGAACAUGGUCCUUCUUCCCCUAGAGUUGAGUUAGAAUUGUUGCUGGAUUUUCUAAAUAUAAAUGCAGGUUGUUUUGGUGAAGGAAGAGCCAUUUCACUAUUCAACAUGAGAACAACUACUAACAUGGUUGGUCUAUCCAUAGCAUCUUCUUGCACACAUAAGAGU
rnacentral:misc_RNA from 1 species